rnacentral:antisense_RNA from 2 species
AGAAGAAAAGCCCCUAAUCCUAACAAAGUUAAGUGAAUACUAAAAAUAGUAAUCAUUUAUUUGUUUUUAUCUUUCCA